rnacentral:rRNA from 1 species
CAGGAUGAACGCUGGCGGCGUGCCUAACACAUCAAGUCGAACGAAUGCAGAAAUGCAGUGAGUGGCGGACGGGUGAGUAACGCGUAAGCAAUCUGCCUUUGUGUGUGGAAUAACAACCGGAAACAGUUGCUAAUACCGCAUAACGCACAGAGAUCGCAUGAUUUUUGUGCCAAAGAUUUAUCGCACGAAGAUGAGCCUGCGUCCGAUUAGAUAGUUGGCGGGGUAACGGCCCACCAAGUCGACGAUCGGUAGCCGGACUGAGAGGUUGAACGGCCACAUUGGAACUGAGAUACGGUCCAGACUCCUACGGGAGGCAGCAGUGGGGAAUAUUGGGCAAUGGACGAAAGUCUGACCCAGCGACGCCGCGUGAGGGAAGAAGGUCUUCGGAUUGUAAACCUUAGUCAACAGGGACGAAGCAAGUGACGGUACCUGUGGAGGAAGCCACGGCUAACUACGUGCCAGCCGCUGC